rnacentral:lncRNA from 1 species
CUAUAAAACUUACACUAUAUUAUUAAUAAUCAGUCAAUAUUUUGUUAAUAAUUAUGAUGAGACAGAUGCAUUCAAAGAAAACAAUAUUCUUUUAUUUGAGAAAAAAAUAGCAUGCUAUUUGUUUCGUUUAUUUAUUUUAGAAAUAAACUUAGCUAAAAAUGUAAAUCAAUUAGAAUUCGAAUUUGAGACAUAAAAUAUCAACCACCAAACUCUUUGUCACUUGUAUUAGAAACAGUCGGUCAGAAAAUAUAAUUUUAUUAGUUAAAAAUGAUAUUUAUGAGUAAUAUAACUGAAGUAUUCUAGACUUGUUCAUAUGUUAAGACAUACGCACACACUCUCUUUUGCACCCCCAUUU